rnacentral:piRNA from 1 species
UGACAGAUAGGCAAUAUUCAAAUCAGUGU